GACGAACGCUGGCGGCGUGCCUAAUACAUGCAAGUAGGACGCAGUUGCGAACGGGUGAGUAACGCGUCGGUAACUGCCUAUGAGAGGGGGAUAACUAUUGGAAACGAUAGCUAAUACCGCAUACUAGUAGAUGGACCUGCGUUGUAUUAGCUAGUAGGUAGGGUAAUGGCCUACCUAGGCGACGAUACAUAGCCGACGUGAGAGGGUGAUGGGCCACAAUGGGAGUGAGAAACGGCCCAGAGUCCGACAGGAGGGAGCAGUAGGGGAUCAUCGGCAAUGAGGGGAACCCUGAACAAGCAACGCGGAGUAAGUGAAGAAGGUUUUCGGAUCGUAAAGCUCGGUUGUUAAGGAAGCGGUACUUAACCAGAAAGGGACGGCUAACUACGUGCCAGCAGCCGCGGUAAUUC
rnacentral:rRNA from 1 species